rnacentral:tRNA from 1 species
GGUACAGUGGCGUAUUGGUCUGAUACAAGUGCCCGGAUAGGCCCGAGGGGCGGGUUCGAUUCCCGCCUGUGCCG